CGGACAAUAUCUGCUGUGAUAAGCUUGAGCUGUUACAAAUGGUAUCAGAGCCUGACACUUGGCGAUGUGCCAUUGAGAACGCUAGGCCCUCAAAGGGGUGGAUUGUGAGAUCCCACAUUGGCUGGAGAGGGAAAUGAGUGCCAGCGAAGA